CGUGUAGGCGGACUCGCAAGUCGGUUGUGAAAUCCCUGGGCUUAACCUAGGAACUGCAUCCGAAACUGCUUGUCUUGAGUAAUGGAGAGGGUGGCGGAAUUCCCGGUGUAGAGGUGAAAUUCGUAGAUAUCGGGAGGAACAUCAGUGGCGAAGGCGGCCACCUGGACAUUUACUGACGCUGAGACGCGAAAGCGUGGGGAGCAAACAGGAUUAGAUACCCCUGGUAGUCC
rnacentral:rRNA from 1 species